ACUCAAAUGAAUUGACGGGGGCCCGCACAAGCGGCGGAGCAUGUUGCUUAAUUCGACGCAACGCGAAGAACCUUACCAAGGUUUGACAUCACCCGAAAACUCGCAGAGAUGCGGGGUCCUUUGGGGCGGGUGACAGGUGGUGCAUGGCUGUCGUCAGCUCGUGUCGUGAGAUGUUGGGUUAAGUCCCGCAACGAGCGCAACCCUUGUUCCAUGUUGCCAGCACGCUUUUGGUGGUGGGGACUCAUGGGAGACUGCCGGGGUCAACUCGGAGGAAGGUGGGGAUGACGUCAAGUCAUCAUGCCCCUUAUGUCUUGGGCUGCAAACAUGCUACAAUGGCUGGUACAGAGGGCUGCGAUGCCGUGAGGUGGAGCGAAUCCCUAAAAGCCGGUCUCAGUGCGGAUUGGGGUCUGCAACUCGACCCUAUGAAGUCGGAGUCGCUAGUAAUCGCAGAUCAGCAAUGCUGCGGUGAAUACGUUCCCGGGCCUUGUACACACCGCCCGU
rnacentral:rRNA from 1 species